GGUUAAACCCAGUAGUUUUUUGUGCAUUUUUAUCAGAGGAGCAAUCGAACAUUCCAUAGUUGCAUCGCCGACUUUCAAUGAGGGAAAUCAGGCUCGGUCCAAAUGGGUCUUCAGCUACUAGACUUGAUGGCCUUAACAGAGGGCAGUAGUUCCCCUAGGACGACUGAGAAUGAGGGAAUUUCAGCACCGGGUGGCAUCGCAGGGCAUUCGCCCCAAGAGCUGUCUCGGCCACAGAGUGCUAGUCUCGCCAGAAUGCACGAGUGCUCUGACAUUGGAGGGCCCCGUCUUUUCUCAGAACAGGAUGUCCAAUGCGUCCUAUUUUGGCGUCAUCUCUGCCACACCAGUGAUGUUUUCAAGUUCUGUUGGACGCUGUUUGUGUACACCAAAGGCAAUUUCCAUAUGAUUGGAGAUGAUCUGGUCAAC
ensembl:lncRNA